CAGGCAACAACCAGUUCUUAGGGAAUCCAUGCAGAAGAGGAGACAGAAAGAGUGUGAGAGCCGGAUGCCUGAAAGGAACGUGUCUUCCAAACACAAGACUGGGAUAUGAACUCACAGAGACGGUGGCAGCUUUCUCAAGGCUUGCACAGGUUCGAGCCAGAUUCCCAGCCCCAAGAGAAAGCCAAGUGAACACAGGCUCCCACCUCUAACCACGAAGCUAUUUGCAACUGAUACCUGCUAGCAGAGAAAAAACUUAGUUUUCUCCAAUGGGGUGUCAGCAGGAGUAUUAAUUACACUUCAGGCUUCCGAAGGGGGGUAAAUAAGUUCAAAGGGCCAUCUGCCCCUGACCAGACCCCAGAGAAUCCCAAGUUUCAGCCUGCAGAGUGGGUGGACAGGAGAGCGAACUCAAGCCCAAUUCAUUUCCACUGAAGAGAAGCGCCGCUUGCUCCUUGGAGAUCUUCCUUACUGCAAGUCUCUGAGUGAACUGCCUUCCACGUAGAGGAACACAGGAGUGAAGAGGUAGCCAAUCCAGUUGGAAAGCAGAAAGCAGCGCCACCCGGGUGGCUUUUGGGUUGAACCGGAAUUUCCGGAAGCUUAGCCCUUUGUCCAGUCUGCUUGCUCUGUGCGCAUGCGUCCCACAGACAGCUCUCCUCUUACCAUUCUCUUUGCAGACAGAAAUCCAGCCGUGCUUUUGUGCCAUGAUCUGACACCUAGAUGCAUAUUCCUUGUGUGGUUUACCCUCCCGUGAUGUCUAGUACUGACUUCCAGCUUGACAAGAUCUAGAAUCACUAUGAAGACAAACCUCUGGUCGUACCAGUGAGGAGCUGCUUAGAUUUGGAAGCGGGAAGACCCAUUCUAAACCAGUGAUGCCAUUCCAUGGGGUGGCGGACUGGGUUGCAUCAGCAAGAGCAAGCGAUCCAAGCAUUAGCAUUCAAGGCUCUCUGCUUCUUGACUAUGGGUGUGUUGUGGCCAGUGCCCACAUGCUCCUGCUGCUACAGUGUCCUCUCCAUGCUGGCUUGGACUCUCUGUGUGAGCCAAAGUAAACCAUCC
rnacentral:sRNA from 1 species